GACGAACGCUGGCGGCGUGCCUAACACAUGCAAGUCGAACGGAAAGGCCGUGCUAUUGUGGUGUGCCCGAGUGGCGAACGGGUGAGUAUCACGAGUGUAUCGUGCUCUUGACUUUGGGGUGACUUCAGGUAACUGGGGCUACUAUAGGAUAGCAGAUGACGUUGCAUGGUGGGGGUUGGAAAGUUUGGGCGGUUGGGGAUGGAUUCGCGGCUUAUCAGCUUGUUGGUGGGGUAGUGGCUUACCAAGGCUUUGACGGGUCGCCGGCCUGAGUGUGUGACCGGCCACAGUGGGACUAGGAUACGGCCCAGACGCCUACGUGAGGCAGCAGUGGGAAAUAUUGCACAAUGGGCGGAAGCCGGAGGCAACGACGCCGCGUUCGGAAUGACGGCCUUCGGGUUAUAAACCGCUUUCGCCUGUGACGAAGCGGGAGUGACGGUAAUGGAUAAAGAAGCACCGGCUAACUACGUG
rnacentral:rRNA from 1 species